AUUGAACGCUGGCGGCAGGCCUAACACCUUCCAGUCGAGCGAGCGGCGGACGGGUGAGUAAUGUCUGGGAAACUGCCUUAUGGAGGGGGAUAACUACUGGAAACGGUAGCUACUACCGCAUACCAUCAGAUGUGCCCAGAUGGGAUUAGCGAGUAGGUGGGGUAACUGCUCCCCUAUGCGACGAUCCCUAGCUGGUCUGAGAGGAUGACCAGCCACACUUGAACUGAGACACGGUCCAGACUCCUACGGGAGGCAGCAGUGGGGAAUAUUGCACAAUGGGCGCAAGCCUGAUGCAGCCAUGCCGCGUGUGUGAAGAAGGCCUUCGGGUUGUAAAGCACUUUCAGCGGGGAGGCGUUACCCGCAGAAGAAGCACCGGCUAACUACGGGCCAGCCGCCGCGGUAAUUC
rnacentral:rRNA from 1 species